CCUUUGGAGCGUUGAACCAACGAGAGUAGCAGUAGUUUUGCAAAAUCGGACGCUAUGAACAAGGAA
rnacentral:sRNA from 1 species